GAACAACUGACAGGUACUCAAGAACAAGACAGCACUGGGAGAAUUCUAAGACAGAGAUGAGGGUGAAGCACCCCUCCUGCACCUCAGAGACCAAGACACAUGCAUUAGAAGGGUACUUACAGAAGAGACUUGAAAGCCUAUGUCGGUACCAAGACUUGUACAUGAAUGUUCAUAGCAGCUUUAUUGUAACAGCCAGAAACUGGAAACAACUCAAAUGUCCAUCAACAGGUGGUAGCACUGGUCUUGCUGGACUCCUCACUCCCUUGCUGGCUUUGAGGAAGCAAGCAGCCAUGCUGGGAAAGCCCAUAUGACUAGGAACUGUGAAUGGCCUCUAAAAGAUGAAGGGCACCCCCAGCCUCCAGCCAUCAAGACAUUGAAAGUCCCACAGGCACAAGAGACUGAAUCUGCCAAAAGCAUCCUAUUUCUAUCACUACCCAGCAAGCAUCUGCAGCAUGACAUCCUCCAGAAGAAACAAUCAAGGGGACGUGAAGGUCUUUGGGAAGGAAAUGAUUCAUAAACUUCAUGACAAUCCUCAAAGGAGAGUAAUGAAAUACUCACCUCCCUGCUGUGCCUGGCCUCCCUAAUGGGAAUGAAGUGGCCGGGACAGAAGGAUACAAAAUGGCAGACACCAUCAGGAGGGCCCUCUUAGCACCUCUUUGCCAAAUCUCGAUUUCCUCACCUUUUCCUGAAGCCGGAUGUUAUCCCACACCUUGGUGCACACCAUACACUCAAACGCAUCGAUGUAGUUGUCCUGGUGGACAUCCUGCACUCCCCAUUUCCGUUCCCUGAGUGCUGUGAGAAGUCGCUGAUUGGAGACCUCACCCUUCAGCUUCCAUUCUAUGUAGGCCUCGUACAUCCUGUCGUCAUGAUCCAGUUGUCUGAUGUAAUUUGCCAAUUCUCUAGGGUGAGCAAAUUCUGAUACGAGAAUAGCACUUCUGUUACUUGGGAGCCAGUCCGCAAUGCUGGGGGACCCAUAAUACACAGGGACCACCCCCAGUUUCAGAGGUCUCCAGAACUUCUCGGUGAUGUAGUCGUCACACACUGCAUUCUCAAAGGCCAGGAUAAACUUAUACUGUGCAAUGAUCCUAUAAAAGCCAUCGGCAUCCAUAGAGGCUGGAUUUUUCAGCUGCUGAGGGAGAUCUUUGUUUCGUAAACACUCACCGUAGGAAUCGACCUCGAUAUAAGUCAUCAGCUCUCGAACAUAGCUGUCCCUGUCUGACGGCGGGUCACAGUCUGACUGGAUAUAUACCAGUGGAGCAAGUCUUCUUCGAAGGUUGUUUUUGGACCGCAAAGGGACUAGGUAUCGGAGUGACUUCAGGACUUCUACACCCUCCAAGUACUGGGUGGUCAGUGGCAAGUGGGAAUGCCGGCUGAAGGUGGCUGUGUAGUUGAACAAGGUGAUGACUGGCUUGUGAAAGAGCUUAUAAUUGUUUUUCGGAGACUCUUCAUGAAAAAGGGCCCAGUCGUGGUGGGCUUUCCGAGGCAGAGGUAAGCUAUCUAUAUUAAAGUCAGUGCCUAGAAGAAGAAAAGAAAAUAUUAGUGUGUGCAAGAGAAUUUUAGUGUUCAGCUUGGAAUCCACCUGGUAAGAUUAGAAUACAGAGAAGUCUGAGGCCACAAAGAAGCAUGUGACCGUUUUGCCUGGGAUUCAGUCAUGAUGCUUUCACUCUAAAAAAUGCUCAGGGAGAGGAGCACCAAGGAAAGGGACAAUCUUUCUGAUUUUAUGAAAAGAGAAAUGGGAGUAGUGUCUAGCCUGGUUCUAAAGGGAGAAUUUCGGGAUGCCUGGGUGGCUCAGGACUUGAUUCCAGGGUCCUGGGUUUGGCCCUUGUGUUGGGCUCCCUUCUUAUUGGGGAGUCGACUUCUCCUUCUGCCUCUGCCCCUCCCCAUCUCCACUUGUGCUCUCUCGAGCUCUCUCUCUCUCUGUCUCAAAUAAAUACAUAAUAUCUUUUAAAAAAUAAAUAAAGGGAGAAUUUAUUCCACCGCCUCUGGCAAUUGGCUUUUCUUCCCACAGGUGUUGUCUAAGAGAGGGCAUGAGAAAUAAAUAGACAAUUCUUAAAAAAGAAAAGAGCAAGAGAAAGGAAGCCAAAGAGGGGAAAGCAACCAACUUGGCAGAUUGAUGAACUGAAAAAAAAGUGAAAUCAUGAAAAAGUCGCCAUAAUAAAUAUACAGGAUAGAUUUUUUUUCAUCCAAAAUGAUCGAUCUCAACAAAGUGCAGUGAAUCAAUCUUAGUCACAAUGGUAGACAAGAGGCUUUUAAAGACAAAACAGCUGAUAAUAGCACUAUGCUACAGACCGCUGCAGGAUGGACAUGAAUUAACAAGCACAUCAAGAAAUAAAGAAGGCAUAACAGGAUUAUAAUUAUGAGUGAUUCUGGCUUCCACAGGAUUAAUUGGGAAACCUUUGAAACACGAUCAUGUGCAGACAGAAGUGAUGGAUGUGGUGAGCCGCUGUUUCCUGACAGCGUGGAUGGAGACUCAAUCAGGAAGAAGUUAUUUCUAUAACUGAGAAAGGAUUAAGAUAAUACUGCAAUACAUAACGCAGAAUUUCUAAAGUGUUCCUGACACUGAUGAUUUUGUAGCCCCUACUUGAGUUUUUAAGCAUAAGGAAAUGGCAAAAAACAAAUUCCCCUUCCAUCAUUCACUGGGGGAAAAAAGGCC